ACGGAGUUUUGCUGGAGUGCAAUGGCACAAUCUUGGCUUACUGCAGCCUCUGCCUCCCAAGCUCAAGCAAUUCUGCCUCAGCCUCCCAAGAUGCUGGAAUUACAGGCUGUCACUCUGUCACCCAGGCUGGAGUGUGGUGGUAUGAUCACAGCUCACUCUAGCCUUGAACCCCUGAGCUAAAGGGAUCCUCCUGCCUCAGCCUCCAGAGUAGCUGGGACUACAGUAUAUACAUGAAGAAACCCAGCUACGUGCACAUGUGUGGAGUACUCUUGGGUAGCACGAGCAGGUCAGGCAAUGGCAAAUGGUGUGAUGUGACCUUGAGUCAACAUCAGAGGUCAAAGUUUUGGGAGAUACCCGGAGCCUAUGAUCAGAAAGGAUGUGUGCUGACAUCAUCACCACCUUUGUCUUUCAGGGUAAGAAUAUGUUUUAAAUAUUUUGAAAUUAGUAACCACAGAAAAGUUAAGGAACCAAAUAAGCAGUGGGAAUAUAUGCAAAGAAACCCCCCUUUUUAUUUCUUAUAA
rnacentral:lncRNA from 1 species